GACGAACGCUGGCGGCGUGCUUAACACAUGCAAGUCGAACGGAAAGGCCCUGCUUUUGUGGGGUGCUCGAGUGGCGAACGGGUGAGUAACACGUGAGUAACCUGCCCUUGACUUUGGGAUAACUUCAGGAAACUGGGGCUAAUACCGGAUAGGAGCUCCUGCUGCAUGGUGGGGGUGGGAAAGUUUCGGCGGUUGGGGAUGGACUCGCGGCUUAUCAGCUUGUUGGUGGGGUAGUGGCUUACCAAGGCUUUGACGGGUAGCAGGCCUGAGAGGGUGACCGGCCACAUUGGGACUGAGAUACGGCACAGACUCGUACGGGAGGCAGCAGUGGGGAAUAUUGCACAAUGGGAGGAAGCCUGAUGCAGCAAAGCCGCGUGGGGGAUGACGGCCUUCGGGUUGUAAACCGCUUUCGCCUGUGACGAAGCGUGAGUGACGGUAAUGGGUAAAGAAGCACCGGCUAACUACGUG
rnacentral:rRNA from 1 species